AGAACUAACGCUGGCGGCGUGGCUUAGGCGUGCAAGUCGAACGGCAAAGGUCGCAAGACCGAGUAAGUGGCGAAAGGGUGAGUAGUACUCGGGCAAUCUGCCCCUGGGACUGGGAUAGCCUCGGGAAACUGAGAGUAAUACCAGACGGGCUCACGAGAGCUGAGGCUCAUGUGAGUAAACGGAGGGGCUCCGCAAGGACCUUCCGCCCAGUGAGGAGCUCGAGCCCUAUCAGGUAGCUGGCGGGUAACGGCCCACCAAGCCUACGACGGGUAUCCGGACUGAGAGGUUGGCCGGACACACUGGCACUGAGACACUGGCCAGACUCCUACGGGAGGCUGCAGUCGAGAAUUUCCGCAAUGGGGGCAACCUGACGGAGCGACGCCGCGUGAAGGAAGAAGGCCUUCGGGUGUAAACUUCUGUCACGACUUACGAAUGCAUCAGACGUAACAAUCUGGUGUGACGAAGGUCGGAAGGAGCCACAGCUAACUCGUGCUAGCAGCGA
rnacentral:rRNA from 1 species